AGUAGCGAUGCAUCUACUCAGUCCACACGAACAGACCUUCUCCGAUGACCGGUGCUAGCCAAUUCCACCAGAGAUUCAGAGAGAACCGGGUUUAGAGAGCGACGGCUAGGUUUCACUUUGUAAAUUAGGUUAAGCUUAAAACUUCAUCACAAGGGUUCUAUUUAUAGAACCACUUGUGUGGUUAUCAAGCCAAGCACUGCACCG
rnacentral:lncRNA from 1 species